rnacentral:rRNA from 1 species
GUGGGGAAUAUUGGACAAUGGGGGCAACCCUGAUCCAGCAAUGCCGCGUGUGUGAAGAAGGCCUGCGGGUUGUAAAGCACUUUUGUUAGGGAGGAGGGAUGACUGGUUAAGAGCUGGUUAUUCGGACGUUACCUAAAGAAAAAGCACCGGCUAACUCCGUGCCAGCAGCCGCGGUAAUACGGGGGGUGCGAGCGUUAAUCGGAAUUACUGGGCGUAAAGGGUGCGUAGGCGGUUUAGUAAGUUAUGGGUGAAAUACCUGGGCUCAACCUGGGAUUGGCCUGUAAUACUGUUAGACUUGAGUAUAGGAGAGGGCAGUGGAAUUUCCGGUGUAGCGGUGAAAUGCGUAGAUAUCGGAAGGAACACCGGUGGCGAAGGCGGCUGCCUGGCCUGAUACUGACGCUGAGGCACGAAAGCGUGGGUAGCGAACAGGAUUAGAAACCCUUGUAGUCC